UACGUAGGGACCGAGCGUUGUCCGGAAUCAUUGGGCGUAAAGAGCGUGUAGGCGGCCACUUAAGUCCUGCGUGAAAUCUUGCGGCUCAACCGCAAGCGGUCGUGGGAAACUGGGUGGCUAGAGUCCGGAAGAGGAGAGUGGAAUUCCCGGUGUAGCGGUGAAAUGCGCAGAUAUCAGGAGGAACACCGAUGGCGAAGGCAGGUCUCUGGGCCACUACUGACGCUGAGAAGCGAAAGCAUGGGGAGCGAACAGG
rnacentral:rRNA from 1 species